GCGCUCGUAGCUCAGCUGGAUAGAGCACCAGAUUCCGGUUCUGGGUGCCGGGGGUUCGAAUCCUCUCGGGCGCGCCA
rnacentral:tRNA from 2 species